rnacentral:pre_miRNA from 1 species
AAAAAGAUAAACCCUGAGUUUUCGUGUCCAACUUUGACUGUCUGUCUUAUAUAAAUUUUUUUUAUAAUUCGUAUUUUCAUUGUUGUUAGAUGAUAAAAUAUGAUUAAUAUUUUAUGUGCGACUUAUCUUUUUAAUUUUUUUUAUAAUUUUUUCAAAUAAGAUGGACGGUUAAACGUUGGACACGGAAAUCAGGGUUUGUCUUUUU